CCAGGCACAUGUUGGUGGGUAUUAAGGCAGCUGGGGUCCACCUGAAAGAAGGGAGGAGCGCUGCUGCAGUGGAUCACCAUGCCAUGAGGGGGUGCUUCUGCCAUACUAGGGUUUGGGAUUUUUUUGAGAGAAUAUAACCUGGCAGUAGCGGAGCUGGUGGAGCUGACUUCCCUGAACCAAGACCUUGCAGUAGCUAAUCUGACAGAGCUGACUAAAUGGAACUAGAACCAGCUGCUGAGGUGUUAAUUGUUAAACAGAAGGGGUUCACAUGUGACAAUCUGUCCCACCUUGUAUUUAGGACACUUCGGUUACUUUCCCCAGACCCAAGAAAGAGCUCUGUGAAGUUGACAGCCUGUCCCUUCCACCAACAGAAGUGGAUCCAAUGAAAGAUAUCUUACCCACCUUAUCUCUUAGAAUUGUAGAUUCAGUUUUGCUUUGCGUAUAAACAGUUUCACUGCCUCUGUA